rnacentral:lncRNA from 10 species
UCAUCCUCCAAGACUGACUUCAUUUGAGUUCAUUUGUUAACAGGCCAAAAACCUAUGGGGGACUGCACAGAGUAUUGUCCACGUUCAACGGUUGAAAUGGAUGAGAGAGAAGUUGCCAUCAGGAGAUCUCUCGGCUCCAUUGCAGGUGCAAACAGAAAUUACAGCCUUUGUCCUUCAAGUCUCAGGGCAGCAACUUGGUCUGCUGUGCAGGCCACUUCAACCCCUGGAGGCCGUGGUUGAAGAUUUG